rnacentral:lncRNA from 1 species
AUGCGCAGUGGGGCGGAGGAGGUGGCGAUGGCCGGGGGAGGGGGGGGACUGCUGUUUAUUUGCAGCUGGGCCAACUCGCCGGCGCAGGCGGCGGCGGAGCGCGGGGCGCCAGCGGCGGGUCCAGCGGCCGCCGCACCAUGCCCGAGCCCGCCUCCGGGCAGCCGCCGCGCGCCGCCGGGGCCCCGGCCGGGGAGGAUGCCAGACGCCCGGGAGAGGCCAGGGCAGCGGCGGCGGCGGCGGCGCGAUGGUGGUGACCAGCUCUGCCCGAGGCGGCGGCGGGGACCGCGCGCCCUCCCGGCAGCGGGACUGCGGACUCGCGCCGGCCGGGGCUGCGGCGCUGCUGGCCGGGGCGAGCUGCCUGUGCUACGGCCGCUCCCUGCAGGGCGAGUUCGUGCACGACGACGUGUGGGCGAUCGUGAACAACCCCGACGUGCGGCCCGGCGCCCCGCUGCGCUGGGGCAUCUUCACCAACGACUUCUGGGGCAAGGGCAUGGCCGAGAACACCGGCCACAAGUCCUACCGGCCGCUCUGCGUCCUCACCAUCGAAUGCGCCCGGGCCCGGAGAAGUUGCGGCACUGGAUUGAGGACGUGUGCUGUUGCGUUUGCAUUGGAGUCUGCGAAUCGCAUCCUUUGGUACUUCAGAGCCGCGGAGUGAUGAUGGUUUGCUGAUUAUUCCUGGUACUGGAGGAAAUGCAGAAGAAGAGCAAAGGAUUAGGGGCCAGAGGGACUCUCCUUAGAGGUGUGAACGAAGACAUGAGUGGAGCUAUAUUAACAUACAGCCAAAGCAACCAUUUCAGAGGAAUUGCCUUGCACGUCGUGUUUUCUCUAUCUUCCAAAUUGGACCAAACCACCAACACUCCAAGAAGUCAGUAAGGACAGAAUAACCUGUUUGUAAGGAUUUAAAAAACUGGACUUUGCUGAUGACCAAAUAGCUAACCAAUCAAUGCAGUACAAACCUAGCCUUACCUCAUCUAGAACCAAAGAACUCUUCUUCCCCGGUACAUAGUUGUGUAUUCUUCGUUGUGGGUUCCUUUAGUUGUGGCAUGUGGGACGCUGCCUCAGCGUGGUCUGACGAGCAGUGCCAUGUCCGCACCCAGGAUUCGAACCGCCGAAACACUGGGCCGCCUGCAGCGGAGCGCGCGAACUUAACCACUCGGCCACGGGGCCAGCCCCCAAAGAACUCUUCUUUAAUACAACUCCCCUCAUCCUCCCUUUUUUCCCGUAAAACCCCGAAGCUCCUCUCCUGCAAUCAGAGCAUAUUUUGGGUUUCUGCCUGAAUCUGUGUCUCCCAAUUGCAAUUCUAAUUGCCCAAGUUAAUAUCUGCUAUUUAAAUUGUAGUGCCUUUUCCUCGGUCAACAAGGAAAAACCAGAAGAACCAGAAGUUGUUAGGGAUCGGUUGAAUGAUCUAAGGAGACUAUGGAAACCACUUAUAAGCAUUUGAGCCGUGAUGAUGGCAAGAGGUGGGGAAGGAGAAAGACCAGGGGCUUUAGAGGAAGACAGGAGAAUGUGCUGGGUGUUUAGUGUUGAGCUGUGGAUUCUUACAGGACAGUCUUGUAGAAUCCAUCAUUUCGGCCACAAAGAUGAUAAAUGAGCAUAUUUCAGUUUUUUCUUCCAUAGAUUUUAGCUUAAAUGGUAAUGAAUGUGUCCAUGAGUUACCAGAGAGAACUGGGUUUGGCUGGAAAGUAUGGCAGCUAGCUCUGCCCUGAAACUUGCAGAUCCCUGGGCCCCUCCAGCUCUAUUAAAUUAGCAUUUAUGGAGGACAGCUCAGGGAGUCUGCUUCAUACCAAGCACACUGGGUGAUUCUUAGAUCCUCAAAAGUCGGAAGCCACUGGUUAUGGUAAUAGCUAACAGUUAUUUAUGUAGCAUUUACUGGGUGCAGCAUUUACUGUUUAAAAUAUUUAAUCAUUUUAAUCCUCAUCACCAUCUCAAGAAUUAGGUACUGUUAUUAUUGCUACAAUUUUAUAGAUAAAAUAAACUGAGGCACAGAGAGGUUAAGUGACUUGCC